rnacentral:lncRNA from 1 species
GCGCGCACGGGGCCAGGGCCACCUCUGCGUCCACGCUGUGCUCGAUGCGCUGCGGCCACCGGCGCGGGCGGAGGGUGAGCCUGACUUUUCCGGGGCCACGGCUUUUCCCGUAUCGACCGCGCGCGGGGAUAGAGCGCGGAGUUCACGGGUGGGCGCUCUGUGCUGGUUGCCCUGCCGCUGAGGUUGGGGACUGGCUGGGACCGCGCAUUGGCAGGGAGGCUCGGGAACGCAGGGGGGCCGAGGCGCGCUCGCACUGGUGUCCUUGGCUUGCCUCCGCGUCCUGGGCAGCGCGAGCCGUGCUCUGCAUCCUAAUGUCUCCUUCAGAGCCCCCCUCAGCAACCAAGGGGAGGAAUUCCGCAGUUCCCUUCCCACACAGCCAAAAGCGCUCAUCUGUCGCCUCGGGAACACCGCAUCCCACACCCCCAGCCGAAAGCCUCAUCUCCAUCGCACGCCAACACCAGCCCUUCCUUCCCCUGCGGGUUCUGUGCCCCGACAGGGAAUCCCACUCUUGGGGGAGGAAGGAGGAAGUUUUAUUUCGUUUUUAGUAGCUCACACAGCCUUUGACACACGUCUGCAUAGAAGUCACAGGUUAUGCUGUAGCAGCUAUGCUAGGUGGCUUGGCUUUGGCUUCCAAAUGAUGGCUGCUAUAUAAGACUUCCACUUCCCCCAAUGCGAGAGAAGGAGCCUUCAAUCCCAAAUCUAUUCUUAAACCACAGAUCAUCUGUUGUUUCUGUGAGGUCUGUACAGAGCCUAGCAUGCAAGGUAAUUUUGCCAAUAUAAAGAGGCUAUACGGAGCCCGCCUGUGAUCCCACGAACAGAAGUGGAAGCCACGGGAUCAAGAGUUCAAGGUCAUGGACAGACACUGAAGGAGUUUAGGAGCAGUCUUCCACGUUGGACCUUGUCUAAAACAUACAAAAUAAAUUUAAAAAGCAGAGGAAUGUGGGAAGCCAUACUUAACAGGGAGGAGGCCCUUUGCAUUGAAUUUGCAAAUAUCUUCACAAAAUGCGGCUUCAUGAAGGGCAUAGAUUGCAAAAUAAAGCAUUUCAUCUUCUUGAGUGUUUAGCAACGCCACCCCCCCCCCCCAAUCACUUGAGACGUCCCACAAGGCUCCGCCUCAAGACUUAAGAUAGAUUCCUUCAGCAGAUGCAAA